rnacentral:rRNA from 1 species
GAACGAUGAAGCUGAAGCUUUUGUUUUGGUGGAUUAGUGGCGAACGGGUGAGUAAUACGUGAGUAACCUGCCCUUGUCUUUGGGAUAAGCCUGGGAAACUGGGUCUAAUACCGGAUAUUCUGCUUCUGCCGCAUGGUGGGGGUUGGAAAGAUUUUUUGGAUGGGGAUGGGCUCACGGCCUAUCAGCUUGUUGGUGGGGUGAUGGCCUACCAAGGCGUCGACGGGUAGCCGGCCUGAGAGGGUGACCGGCCACAUUGGGACUGAGAUACGGCCCAGACUCCUACGGGAGGCAGCAGUGGGGAAUAUUGCACAAUGGACGCAAGUCUGAUGCAGCGACGCCCGCGUGGGGGAUGAAGGCUUUCGGGUUGUAACUCUUUCAGUACAGAACAAGGCUU